AUUUCUUAUACUUAAUAAUAAAAGGUUUACCGGUAUGUUUUAAAUCAUAUUUUAGGAUUGCACUUAAAUGAUAUCGCUGUUGAAUGAUAUUUCAUAUCUUUCACAUUUGUUAUAACUGGGCUGCGUACUGCCUGCGAAUUUGAACUUCAGAGCUGAAGGUGCGAGUGGAGAAAUAGUCCCAAUAUCAUAACAAUCUUAAAACUUCUAAAUAUACCCGUGUGUGUACCCGUGUGCAAGCGUGUGUGCGCGCGCGCGUACUCGCGCGUGUGUAUGUAUGUAUGCGCGUGCGUCUGUGUAUUUUGAAUUUAAAAUGUUAUAACUCGGAAGGAUCUGGAUCACAGGUCAUUUCAUCUGAGAUCAAUCCGCACGCAACAGCUGGAAUCACUUACUGAUUCACACAAGGAAGGACACAAGUCAGCCGUUUCCUCAAGUUCACGUCAGAGCGGAGAUGAUGUGAGAGGCUGACCAGAAGGAAACAUAGCGAGACAGUCUCCGCUUGGACUGGCUGAGGAAAGUCUCCUAAAUGGCCCUGGAGAUGUUCUGACUGACUUUGGAGGCUUUUUGGACUGUUUUAUGCCCUCUAUUUAAAGAAGACUUAAUUCUGUAUGUUCAGUCUGUAUGAUAAGUGAAUAAGUGAAUAAAAAGCUUUUGUUUUUAUGUGA